GAUGAACGCUGGCGGCGUGCCUAACACAUGCAAGUCGAGCGAACACACGAUGAGCUUUCGCUCUUGCCGUUAGCGGCUGACGGGCGAGUAACACGUGGAUAACCUACCUCUUAUACUUGGAUAACUUCGUGAAACCGCUGCUAAUACCAGCUCAUAUAUUCUACCGCAUGGUUCAAUAGUUAAAGACGGCUUUCCCGUUUCUUAUAGAUGGAUCCGCGCUACAUUAGCUAGUUGGUAAGGGAACGGCCUACCAAGGCAACGAUGCUUAGCCGACCGGAUAGGGUGGUCGGCCACACCGGAAAUGAGGACAGGGUCAAGCUCCUUAGGGAGGGAGCAGGAGGGAAACUUCCGAAAAGGGCGAAAACCUGACGGAGGAACGCCGCGGGGGUGGAGAAGGUCUUCCGAGCGGUAAAGUCUUUUAGUAGGGAAAAAAAAGUGGGUAAUUAACUAUGCACGUUUUGAAGGUAACUAAUAAGAAAGGCACGGCUAACUACGGG
rnacentral:rRNA from 1 species